AACUAAUAUAUAUUUACAGUUUUGUUUGAAGUUCGUUGUUAUUAUUUGAAAAUGGAUUUGAUUUUAAUAGAGAAAGUCAGCGAACAUGCUGUUAUUUAUAAUAAUGCAUUGCCCGAAUAUCGUGAUCAACAUAAGAAUUAGAAAUAACUGGUAUGAAUUGUUCCCUUGCGUACACUAUUAAGUUGCCAAACUACACUACCGGCUUCUGAAUUAAAAGAUUCUUUAAAAUUUUCUCGAACGCUUCGCGCGUGUUAUUUCUUCUUAGUGGAUCUAUAUUCAAUAAAGCUGAUUCAGGAAGUCGAAGUGAUUCAAUAUCUGCUUCAAAUGCAUUGUCUUUACAUAACAUGUUAUGCAAGCAGCAAGAUGCAAGGACGAUUUUAUCUACAAAAUCUGGUUGCACUUUUAAGUACCUCCGGAAACAUCUCCAACGUGCAGCUAGAAUACCGAAAGCAUUUUCCACUACACGUCUCGCCUGUGACAAUCUGCAAUUAAAUACUUUAUUGGGCUCAUUGUCUCCUAUAUAAUGCCUACUAUAUAGGCGAAGCAGAUAAGUUUUUAGGGGAAAUGCUUCAUCUCCGAUAACAACAUGUGAUUCUGGCUGUCCGUUUUCUAAUAUAGGUGUCAAUUCUGGCACAUUAAAUGUUUUA